rnacentral:rRNA from 1 species
UACGUAGGGAGCAAGCGUUGUCCGGAAUCAUUGGGCGUAAAGCGCGCGUAGGUGGCCUCGUAAGUCCGCUGUGAAAGUCAAAGGCUCAACCUUUGAAAGCCGGUGGAUACUGUGAGGCUAGAGUACGGAAGAGGCGAGUGGAAUUCCUGGUGUAGCGGUGAAAUGCGCAGAUAUCAGGAAGAACACCCGUGGCGAAGGCGGCUCUCUGGGACGGUACUGACGCUGAGACGCGAAAGCGUGGGGAGCGAACAGG